AUCCGGCUGUCAAGUUCCAAAUAGGACGAAACUCGAGUCCUGGAU
rfam:Schistosoma mansoni strain Puerto Rico chromosome W, complete genome